rnacentral:rRNA from 1 species
AUUGAACGCUGGCGGCAUGCCUUACACAUGCAAGUCGAACGGUAGCGGGCCUUCGGGUGCCGACGAGUGGCGAACGGGUGAGUAAUAUAUCGGAACGUACCUUUCAGUGGGGGAUAACGUAUCGAAAGUUACGCUAAUACCGCAUAUUCUGUUCGCAGGAAAGCAGGGGACCUUCGGGCCUUGCGCUGAUUGAGCGGCCGAUAUCAGAUUAGCUAGUUGGUGAGGUAAAGGCUCACCAAGGCGACGAUCUGUAGCGGGUCUGAGAGGAUGAUCCGCCACACUGGAACUGAGACACGGUCCAGACUCCUACGGGAGGCAGCAGUGGGGAAUUUUGGACAAUGGGGGCAACCCUGAUCCAGCCAUGCCGCGUGAGUGAAGAAGGCCUUCGGGUUGUAAAGCUCUUUCGGCCGGGAAGAAAUCGUAUGGGCUAAUACCCUGUGCGGAUGACGGUACCGGCAUAAGAAGCACCGGCUAACUACGUGCCAGCCGCCGCAGUAACAC